UACGGCCACCUCACCUUGAAACACCUGUUCCCGUAAGACCACCGAUUUUAAGCAAGGUUGUUCCUGGUCAGUACCACGGUGGGUGGCCGCUUGGGAAUACAAGACGCUGGAA